rnacentral:rRNA from 1 species
GUGGGGAAUUUUGGACAAUGGGCGCAAGCCUGAUCCAGCAAUGCCGCGUGCAGGAAGAAGGCCUUCGGGUUGUAAACUGCUUUUGUACGGAACGAAACGGUCCGGGUUAAUACCCUGGGCUAAUGACGAUACCGUAAGAAUAAGCACCGGCUAACUACGUGCCAGCAGCCGCGGUAAUACGUAGGGUGCGAGCGUUAAUCGGAAUUACUGGGCGUAAAGCGUGCGCAGGCGGUGCUGUAAGACAGGCGUGAAAUCCCCGGGCUCAACCUGGGAAUUGCGCUUGUGACUGCAGUGCUGGAGUGCGGCAGAGGGGGAUGGAAUUCCGCGUGUAGCAGUGAAAUGCGUAGAUAUGCGGAGGAACACCGAUGGCGAAGGCAAUCCCCUGGGCCUGCACUGACGCUCAUGCACGAAAGCGUGGGGAGCAAACAGGAUUAGAAACCCUAGUAGUCC